GUAAUGGUGUCUUUAGACACCACCUCUAUCUUCAAAAUAUUAUUC
rfam:Picea glauca, whole genome shotgun sequence.